rnacentral:rRNA from 1 species
AUGGAUAGCUCAAACUUUAAUAUUUUGUGUUGGAACGUACGAGGCCUUAAUGCUGGUGCGCGGCGUGCCUCUGUUCGCGACAUGGUCGUUUCCUCUCGCUCAUCUAUGGUAUGCCUUCAAGAAACUAAGCUAAGUGAUUUCGAUGCGUACACGGUGGCCCAAUGUCUUGGUUCCGCUCUCGACGGGUUCGCUUUUUUGCCAGCUCAUGGCACGAGGGGUGGUGUGCUCAUGGCUUGGGAUACAUCUAUGUUUCAUGCCAGUGCUAUAGAUAUCCGAGAUUUUUCAGUCUCAGUUCAGUUAUCUCGUGCCUCUUCACAGCCCUUCUGGGUUAGUUCAGUUUACGUGCUGCAGGAAGAUGCUGAUAAGCUCCGUUUUCUGGAGGAAAUCAGGACUAUCUGUAGCAGUGCCGAUGGUCCUUGGCUUCUAACCGGGGAUUUUAAUCUGAUCUUAAAUGCAGAAGACAAGAAUAAUCAAAACCUUAAUCGACGUAUGAUGGGUAAGUUCAGGAGAGUGGUUAAUGAUCUCCUUCUGCAGGACAGGUCGUGCCUUUACGUGGACGAAUGA